rnacentral:rRNA from 1 species
AUUGAACGCUGGCGGCAGGCCUAACACAUGCAAGUCGAGCGGAUGAAGGGAGCUUGCUCCUGGAUUCAGCGGCGGACGGGUGAGUAAUGCCUAGGAAUCUGCCUGGUAGUGGGGGAUAACGUCCGGAAACGGGCGCUAAUACCACAUACGUCCUGAUGGAGAAAGUGGGGGAUCUUCGGACCUCACGCUAUCAGAUGAGCCUAGGUCGGAUUAGCUAGUUGGUGGGGUAAAGGCCUACCAAGGCGACGAUCCGUAACUGGUCUGAGAGGAUGAUCAGUCACACUGGAACUGAGACACGGUCCAGAGUCCUACGGGAGGCAGCAGUGGGGAAUAUUGGACAAUGGGCGAAAGCCUGAUCCAGCCAUGCCGAGUGUGUGAAGAAGGUCUUCGGAUUGUAAAGCACUUUAAGUUGGGAGGAAGGGCAGUAAGUUAAUACCUUGCUGUUUUGACGUUAACAACAGAAUAAGCACCGGCUAACUUCGUG